AUAAUGUUAUAAGUAAAGCGAAUGCAUGAAUGUAAAAAUAAUAUGAAUGUAGCUAUCAAAAUAGCUAAUCGACCUAAAUCCAUUUUUUAAAUAAAAACAUUUGCUUGUAGAUUUUCCUCCUGCUCGUACGUGGAGCCUUCACACUGCUCAUGCGUGACCUCUGCUCAUGCGUGACCUUUCUCUUUCUGUCUUCUCUAAUGAAAGAAGCUCGCGAUGAAUGGGAUAUAAAGUACGUCGACUAUAUUUUGUAUCUUUAUGUGUCACAGUAACAAAAAAAAUAUUUGCAAAGUGUAGUUCUUAAAAUUAGAUCUAGAUCCUUUCG